rnacentral:tRNA from 1 species
GCCUUUGUGGUGUAAUGGUAGUACACUCGACGCUUAUUCGAGAGGUCCAGGUUCGAGUCCCAACAAGGGCA